rnacentral:lncRNA from 1 species
CUACUGUUAUGAAUUGCCACAACUUGGAGGCUUAGAACAACACAAAUUAGUACUCUCACAGUCCUGAAGGCUACAGCUCUGCAAUCAAGAUAUCAGCAAGGCCAUCAUUCCACUAAGGCUCUAAGGAAGAAUCCAUUUUUGCCUCUUCCUGCUUCUGGGAUGCAUCCACUUUAUUAGACGGCAAACUAGAAAAUGCUUCCUACAGUCGCCACAUAAAAAGAAUUAUCAUCAUGCCAAACAAAUUAUCAUCGGUGCCAAUGAUGUGAGAAUUGAGCAGAAAGAGCAAUGCAACAGGUUUUCUUUUCUGGCCAUGCCAAGGUGGAAGGUGAUCUUAAUUGAAGAAAGAAUGCUCAAAGUAGGUAUGUGCAGUUUCAGAAGUACAGCUAUAUAAUAUCCGCUAUGCCUUGUCCAGUAACCCUCUCCUUAAUCCUGGCUCUCACGUGGAUUGUCCUUCCUAUAUUAUAAUCCUCCACAUGUCUUUCCUUUACAGAGUUAAUCCCGAAUUACGUAUUUCAAAUAUCUAAUAUAGUUGUGUUAGAAAAAGAAAUUCUCAAGUUCUGAGAUUAUGGAAUAUCCUGAAAGAAUGCUAAAGCAACUAUACCCCUUAAAGAAAGAUCAUUAUCAACUUGUAGAAAACUAAUCCUAUAGUGUGGUGAGAAUUUUUGGCAGUCAUAUUGCACCACUCUCAUACUUUUAACAAUGCAUUUGUGAGAACCACCUACAAUAAAAAUAUGGCAAUAAGAUUAGCAACUAGUGUUAUUUGUUAUAUUUUCC